GCAUAUACAUGGUAUUACCGUAUCUGUUCGAUGUCACCUAAUCUUCUCUACACACAACACAACAGCCGCCAUGAGUAGGCAAAUCGAACCCCUCUUCUUUGCGUUUAGCGAACACCGAGUUCCAUCUAAAAAUGAUGACCCCUCAAACCCUUGAAUCGUCGUUGCUGCUUUAUAGCACCCAUUCCUUAUUCAAUGUUGCUGCUUCAAUAAAACCCUAGAUAUAUCACCACUAAUCGCAUCUUGAAGUGAACAAAGGUCUUCAACAAGCAGUCGGUUCAUCUAGGUGAUGAAGAACACAAAAAACUGGAUCUGUAUGGGGCAUCUUAACUCUAUUGUCCUUUCUAUUGUCUGCUAUGAUAAAAUCUAGGUAAACUCUCUCUCUCUCUCUCUCUCUCUCUCUCUCUCUCAUAAAUCUUCUCUUUUAUUGCUCAAGGAAUUCCAAGGUAUACGUUUUUCUUACUUUAAACCCGACAAAUUCCUCUGCGAAGACCUAAUCACCAUAAACGAAAAUGGCUUCCUUUGAUUUCGCAGGUUUGAUAUUGUAUUUUUAUUCGAUGGAAUGAGUACUCAUAAUGGAUACCGAUUAUCCUAAUUUUGAUCUUAAAUAAAAAAAAUAGUUACCUAAUUCAUUCAUGUGCCGAUUUGGUUAAAGGAUAUGUUGGGUUUCAAUUAAUUUAUCCGAAAUUUAAAAUAUAUUAUGGUUUAGAUAUUUAAUUAAACAAUAAAAUAGAAUUUCAUUAGAUUAAAUGAUAUAUUAUUCAUUAAAUAGUUAGUGAUUAUGAGGUUGAUAGAUUAUAUUGAUGGUACUAAACAAGUGUUUGAUAAAAUGUCCGUGAACAGGGGAUGGUGAAAAGUUCACUCCUGCAAUGGGUUGGGAACUUAAUGUUGAUGAUGGUUUGAAGUUGCAGGGGCUCUUUUGGUGGAUAAAUAGCUCGAUUAAUUAGAAGUAGUUGGAAUUGCAUUCCUUUUUUGACAUCUUCUUUGAGAUCUAAAAUUGAUAUAUGUAAAACAUAUUGAAUUAUUAUAGUGAUUACUUUCUGUUAAUUUUUUUUACAGGAAAUGAUUGUGGUUCAUAGAAAAGGGACUUGCAGAUGUCUUUUGCGUUCUCUUUGUUGAGCGAAAUCCUUAAACUGAAAGUCCAAGUGAGGACGAAGGAAAAACAUCGGCAACUCACCAUCUCUCAAAAGUUGGUAUGUUUCACUUACCCUCUCCAUAAAAACAAAACUAACAUUACUUUCUUUCUUGGUAAUUACGAGUUCUUGAUUCUAAUUGCAUUUUAUUCUAUUUAUUGUUGUUAAUCCCCCAAAGCAACUUCAGAUUUUUGUUUCAAAAUCCUCCUUUCUUAGAAGGAUCAAAAAACGAAAUUGUUUCAGGAUCCUAAAGUUUCUUUGCAAUGUUAAAGUGGAUGAAUAAUGAUGUUUGAUUGGUUACUUCCUCUAUGCAGGUUUGUAUAUCUUGGAGGUAUUAUUUCGAUUUAAAGCCUUCAAUACAAGUUGUUAACAAAAGAAUUUGCACUCUCAUAUCAUAUAACUUAUCAACGACGACCAUCUAACGUGUCAGGCUAUUCACAUGUUUUUUCUUAUAUGUUCGUUCUUAGUUGGUACAUCAUGUUGAAAUAAAAGGAAAAAACAAUAAAUUAUUGAUUUUUAAUUUUUGUCAUAUGAUGUUUACCCAAUAGUCUUUCACAAGAAGAUGAAUUCAAUUUUAAUUCUCAAAGGAGCCUCAAUAAAAGUUAUUAAAAAUAAGUAUUUUAUAAUUGGAUCUCUAUUUAUCUCUCCAUAUUUGUAAAGAUUAAUGAAGUAUUGACAAGUUACUACAAUGGAGUAUGAAUCACUAAUUGCUAGGUCCAAUAAAAUAUUUGUUAAAUGAAAAUCCCUUUUGAUUGUUAUUGAGUAGUAAUUUGAUGUUAAUAAAUUAUCUUUUUUCUUUUGCUAAAUUUUUUCUUAUCAACAUAUUGUGCUCUUAAAAAUCAACUCAAUUGAGCAAUGGAGCAAGGUGGGACAGUGUAGAUGGAGUUUAAAACAAAGGCGGCACAUUCAUGUAUUGGAUUUCCAAAUUAUGUUAAUUUCUAAUUUGUAACAAUGUUCCUAUUUAGGUGUUUUGUAAUUAGGACCAAAUGUUAAUUGCGGUGCAUUUUUCUUUUGUUUAUUAUAGCCUCAAAUUUUUUGGAUUCAUUUAAAUUUUUUAACAUAAAUAUAUUAAUUCCUAUUUAGGUGUUCUGUAGAACCAAAUGGGAAUUGUAAUGUAUUUUUCUUUUGUUUAUUAUAGUCUCAAUUUUUUGGAUU